rnacentral:rRNA from 1 species
GACGAACCGUGCGAACGUUGUUCGGAUUCACUGGGCUUAAAGGGCGCGUAGGCGGGUGACCAAGUCCGGGGUGAAAUCUUCCGGCCUAACCGGAAAAGUGCCUUGGAUACUGGUCGCCUGGAGGGAGGUAGGGGCACGCGGAACUCCAGGUGGAGCGGUGAAAUGCGUAGAUAUCUGGAGGAACGCCGGUGGCGAAAGCGGCGUGCUGGACCUCUUCUGACGCUGAGGCGCGAAGGCGUGGGGAGCAAACAGGG